GUGACAUCUAUUAAUACAGGCAAACAAGCAAAGGCUUUCCAGAAAACCAUAAGACCGAAAUCCAAUUUCCUUCAUGCUAUACCAAUCCCGCCUAAGAGAGAACGGAAAAAAAAAAGAAAACAUACAUUUUUCCAACCGCGUCUGAUUUCUCGCAUCAAAUCAAGGCCACAUUGCGAUCACCUUUAGGACAACAAACACAGACAACAACCACAUCAAAGUAAAAGUCAAAAAUUCUACUCUUACGUACCUCAAAUCCACAGAUCUCCGGAAAGACUCGACCUUUCCCUCCUCUCCCUUCUUCUCCUCGCACCCGCUUCCCCAAGACGGAACCCCUAACCCUAGAACCAACCCACCGGAGGGAAGAAGGCGCCGCCCGAGACGCCAGGUUCCACAGCCCCAUUGUCCCAGGGGAGAAGAUCCCGCGGAGCGCGGCGGCCGGAAGAAGAGACUACACGGUCGGUGGGGGGCCGGAGAAGAGGGAGCGGAGGGAGUAGCUCCUCCCCUGAAUUCC
rnacentral:lncRNA from 1 species